rnacentral:lncRNA from 1 species
CCCUCAGCACUCCCCAUGGGGCUCACUAACCUUGGCUACCUUCAUCGUUUAUGGGAGUUGAGCUGUGCAUGCUUGAGACUGCCAUUUGUUUCUUCUUGCAUUGAAAUAACUUGCUUUUCUCUUUCAGCAACCCUGGGGUUCAACAAUUUGAAACUGCUUCACACCAAGAGCAGAGAAACUCGCUCUGUGGUUAUCACCUCAGAGAGACACAAUACCCAAAACCUGAGAACAUUCGCCUUGUUUUGUUGGAGUCAACACAUCUGCCAGGUUAUCUGUCUUCAGUCAACAUGGCUCAUAGAAAUCCAUGCUGAAUUAUUUUUUAGGAAGUUCGGUUUUGUUGACGAUGGAGUUAAAUGUUAUUCGUGUUAAAGUGAGUCUUUAAGAAGAUGGCCGGCUGUGUUUCUACAUAGUUUUGACAUCUGUCUUCAUUUCUCAUUUUUCCUCUAAGAUGUUCUGCACAUAUUUGUCAAUUUCUGUGGUCUGACUCAGAGCACAGGAAGUGUGGGUACUUCUGCUGGUGUCAAUCAUUGGGACUGGAUUAUGUCUAAGCAUCUUCAACCUCACAGGGAGGAGCUUGACCGGAGAAAGAGGCUGAGAACUGCUUCUCUUACCAAGGACCUUCCCCAAGCCAGGCAUCUCCGGAGAUGGUAUGGAGCCUGGGGUAGCUCGGCCAGGCCUUUGAUCACCAGCGAUGCCAUUGCUCUUCCCCGUUUCGCGUCUGCUGUGGCUUGCUGCUGAGGCUGCUUUCAGACCUCUGGAAUCAGAAAAGGAGGUGACUAUAUCAGGUUGAAUGCCUUGAUGGUCUAGACGUGUGACACUUGCUGCAUUUAUGAGACUGGAGGUGGGGCCCCACCCAAGUUCUGCUUCCAGAGGAGGAGGCAAGACCAAGACACCAAAACAAGGUUCAGCAGAGGACACAUCUGGAACCCCUUUCCUGCUGGAGUGGACAGUGGAGGCAGCGCCACAGUGGAUUUUCAUUGGUGUCUCCCCUGGCUGCCUGGUGGCUGCCUGUCAGAGCCAGCGCUUGAGAACGUGGCUGCUAGUGAAAGUGUUUAUGUGUUUAUGUGACCACAGGUAGCAAACAGAUAAGAAACUAUCCGACUGAGGAGCAGCAAGGGUCUGGAGCUACUGCGAUUGGGUGACCUGGGUAGAGACCCUCCUGGAGAUUUCACUCUGACUAGAACUGGAAGGACAAACCCACCGCAGGAGAACCUUCAGGAGUGAGGCUAACUCAUCUGUGCCACUUAAUGCCGGAGUAACAAAGCCCCCAUCCACUGAGGACGGAGAGAGCAGAUUGUAAGGAGAGAGCAGAUUGUGUGGAGAGGCAGGGGUUUCUGUCACGUAGAAAGCAUCUUGUACAAUGUCUGACACACAGCAAGUGACCAAAAUGUGCCAGGCUGGUCCACCCAGUGCUCUCCAAACACCGUGGUCGCUUGCAUCUGUGGGAUUUUGCUGGUGAUCCUUCCCUAUUUAUCUGAGAUAAAGAAAUUGAAGAACCAUGAAAUUAAGGCACAUUGCCACAUCAUACAGUGGGCAAAUGCUGGAACAAGGUUAGAAUUCCCUUCUGUCUGAAUACUGUUUUAAAAAGUACUCCAA